UUGUCAACAGGAAGAAGGAUGGUUUGAGCAUACCUAAUACACAUUCCCCUUCCCAAUCUUGUGGUAACUCUGAAUAUGCUUUCUUCCCACAGAUCCAAUAUAAAUUCGCUGGGGCUUUCCAAUUGGAUGUAGCAGAUAAGUCAAACCAUACCUCUUUUAAAUGGGUGUAAUUGGCAAACGGAUUAGUAGGCUCUGAGACAUUUGAAGCUGACCACCAAGUAGUAUCUUUAGUAUCGGCAUUAUAGGCUUUCUGUCCUAGACAUAUUAACUCGCCAACAGGUGUGGUAUACAAUGGCCCUUUCCUGGCUAAACAUACAUGACCUAUAAUGGAGGUUUUUAACCGCCACUCUGAUUUACCUCUAGUACUUGAUGAUCAGACUGAGAAAGUAUUUGUUGUUCAUCUGUCUCAGAACCAGGGUACCAUACUUCCUUUGCCUCCCGGUGACUACUGGUCUCCCAUAUUAGUACCUCCACAUACAAAGCAAAGCAAUUAGUUACAUUAAGACUACCCACAAUACUCUCAGCCAAAUCAAUAAAUAGGUUCUUGACAUUAUGGGGAAUUUUAUCUUCAACACUCAUCUCCUCAUGGAAGGAAUGAAAAACCUGAUGAGUUUCAGUUGCUAUCGUCUCAGUUUCAAGUCCUACAUAUAUUUUGGUCCUU